rnacentral:rRNA from 1 species
AAUCCAUAGGUUAAUGAGGCGAACCGGGGGAACUGAAACAUCUAAGUACCCCGAGGAAAAGAAAUCAACCGAGAUUCCCCCAGUAGCGGCGAGCGAACGGGGAGGAGCCCAGAGCCUGAAUCAGCAUGUGUGUUAGUGGAAGCGUCUGGAAAGGCGCGCGAUACAGGGUGACAGCCCCGUACACAAAAGCGCAUGUGCUGUGAGCUCGAUGAGUAGGGCGGGACACGUGGUAUCCUGUCUGAAUAUGGGGGGACCAUCCUCCAAGGCUAAAUACUCCUGACUGACCGAUAGUGAACCAGUACCGUGAGGGAAAGGCGAAAAGAACCCCGGCGAGGGGAGUGAAAAAGAACCUGAAACCGUGUACGUACAAGCAGUGGGAGCACAGGUUUACCUGUGUGACUGCGUACCUUUUGUAUAAUGGGUCAGCGACUUAUAUUCUGUAGCAAGGUUAACCGAAUAGGGGAGCCGGAGGGAAACCGAGUCUUAAUUGGGCGUUAAGUUGCAGGGUAUAGACCCGAAACCCGGUGAUCUAGCCAUGGGCAGGUUGAAGGUUGGGUAACACUAACUGGAGGACCGAACCGACUAAUGUUGAAAAAUUAGCGGAUGACCUGUGGCUGGGGGUGAAAGGCCAAUCAAACCGGGAGAUAGCUGGUUCUCCCCGAAAGCUAUUUAGGUAGCGCCUCGUGAAUUCAUCUCCGGGGGUAGAGCACUGUUUCGGCUAGGGGGCCAUCCCGGCUUACCAACCCGAUGCAAACUGCGAAUACCGGAGAAUGUUAUCACGGGAGACACACGGCGGGUGCUAACGUCCGUCGUGAAGAGGGAAACAACCCAGACCGCCAGCUAAGGUCCCAAAGUCAUGGUUAAGUGGGAAACGAUGUGGGAAGGCCCAGACAGCCAGGAUGUUGGCUUAGAAGCAGCCAUCAUUUAAAGAAAGCGUAAUAGCUCACUGGUCGAGUCGGCCUGCGCGGAAGAUGUAACGGGGCUAAACCAUGCACCGAAGCUGCGGCAGCGAAC